ensembl:ncRNA C40C9.14 ncRNA
AAAAAAACUGCCAAAUUUGGUUAUAUGUUGUGCUGUCACCCACUAAUGAACUUCAUGUGUGAAAAGAGGGUGCGAG